UUUUUAUUGCGAUACUUGGUGUGAAUUGCAGAAUCCCGUGAACCAUCGAGUUUUUGAACGCAAGUGGCGCCCGAAGCCAUUCGGCCGAGGGCACGUCUGCCUGGGCGUCA
rnacentral:rRNA from 1 species